rnacentral:rRNA from 1 species
GCUGCAUGGUUGUCGUCAGCUCGUGCCGUGAGGUGUUGGGUUAAGUCCCGCAACGAGCGCAACCCCUAUCUUCAGUUGCUAGCAGGUAAUGCUGAGGACUCCUGGAGAGACUGCCGGCGUAAGCCGCGAGGAAGGUGGGGACGACGUCAAAUCAUCAUGGCCUUUAUGCCUGGGGCGACACACGUGCUACAAUGGCGUAUACAGAGUGGCAGCCAGACCGCGAGGUUGAGCGAAUCCCACAAAGUACGUCCCAGUUCGGAUCGAAGUCUGCAACCCGACUUCGUGAAGGCGGAAUCGCUAGUAAUCGCGCAUCAGCCAUGACGCGGUGAAUACGUUCCCGGACCUUGUACACACC